rnacentral:rRNA from 1 species
GAUUAACGCUAGCGGCAGGCCUAAUACAUGCAAGUCGAACGGUAACAGGUCCAGCAAUGGAUGCUGACGAGUGGCGCACGGGUGCGUAACACGUAUGCAACUUACCUUAGACUGGGGGAUAGCCCCGAGAAAUCGGGAUUAAUACCCCAUACAAUUACGAUAAGGCAUCUUAUUGUAAUGAAAGCUCCGGCGGUCUUAGAUGGGCAUGCGCGACAUUAGCUAGUUGGUGAGGUAACGGCUCACCAAGGCUGCGAUGUCUAGGGGUUCUGAGAGGAUUCACCCCCACACUGGUACUGAGACACGGACCAGACUCCUACGGGAGGCAGCAGUAAGGAAUAUUGGUCAAUGGACGCAAGUCUGAACCAGCCAUGCCGCGUGCAGGAAGACAGCCCUACGGGUUGUAAACUGCUUUUAUACGGGAAAAAACCUCCGGUCGUGCACCGGAGCUGAUCGUACCGUAAGAAUAAGCAUCGGCUAACUCCGUGCCAGCCGCCGCUGUAAUAC